rnacentral:rRNA from 1 species
UACGAAGGGGGCUAGCGUUGCUCGGAAUCACUGGGCGUAAAGCGCACGUAGGCGGAUUGCUAAGUCAGGGGUGAAAUCCUGGAGCUCAACUCCAGAACUGCCUUUGAUACUGGCGAUCUCGAGUCCGGGAGAGGUGAGUGGAACUGCGAGUGUAGAGGUGAAAUUCGUAGAUAUUGGGAAGAACACCAGUGGCGAAGGCGGCUCACUGGCCCGUAACUGACGCUGAGGUGCGAAAGCGUGGGGAGCAAACAGG